rnacentral:rRNA from 1 species
GACGAACGCUGGCGGCGUGCUUAACACAUGCAAGUCGAACGGAAAGGCCCUGCUUUUGUGGGGUGCUCGAGUGGCGAACGGGUGAGUAACACGUGAGUAACCUGCCCUUGACUUUGGGAUAACUUCAGGAAACUGGGGCUAAUACCGGAUAGGAUCUCCUGCUGCAUGGUGGGGGUUGGAAAGUUUCGGCGGUUGGGGAUGGACUCGCGGCUUAUCAGCUUGUUGGUGGGGUAGUGGCUUACCAAGGCUUUGACGGGUAGCCGGCCUGAGAGGGUGACCGACCACAUUGGGACUGAGAGACGGACCAGACUCCUACGGGAGGCAGUAGGGGGGAAUAUUGCACAAUGGGCGGAAGCCUGAUGCAGAAACGCCGCGUGCGGGAUGCCGGCCUUCGGGUUGUAAACCGCUUUCGCCUGUGACGAAGCGUGAGUGACGGUAAUGGGUAAAGAAGCACCGGCUAACUACGUG